rnacentral:rRNA from 1 species
GACAGAGGAUGCAAGCGUUAUCCGGAAUGAUUGGGCGUAAAGCGUCUGUAGGUGGCUUUUUAAGUCCGCCGUCAAAUCCCAGGGCUCAACCCUGGACAGGCGGUGGAAACUACCAAGCUGGAGUACGGUAGGGGCGGAGGGAAUUUCCGGUGGAGCGGUGAAAUGCGUAGAGAUCGGAAAGAACACCAACGGCGAAAGCACUCUGCUGGGCCGACACUGACACUGAGAGACGAAAGCUAGGGGGAGCGAAUGGGAUUAGAACUUACCGUAGUCAGUCCAAGACCAUC